GAACAUUUGAACUCACUCACAGUAGUUUCCCCAGUGUCCAGGAGCAGUGGCAUCAGCAGCAUACAGGACUGUGGUAUUAUUUUGCACCCAAAAUAACUGGGUGAUUGAUUGUUCCUGCUAAAAGGAGAAUGUUGUGAUCCUUGUCUCCUGUCUACUCUUGAAUUGCCAUGGUUCUAACCUGGUUCUCCAAUUGCUCAUUAAUUUGGGGAAUCCCCAUAAAGAACGUCUUGUUCUUGUUGGGAGGAAAGGCAUGAUUGAAUCAGAUUCUGCAGAAGUUUGCAAGCGCCAAGGGUGUUCAUGACUCCAAACUGCUUUCCCGAUGCGCACAGACUGAAGCAUCUGAGGGGACUUGGGUGUGGAAUGGAUGCUCUUCACACUCCCAGGGGAGGAGCCCUCUGAAGCCUAAGGCUUCGGUCAGGGAGACCGAAGUGUGGGGGAAGCAGUCCCAUUGCCUCAGCACCUGGACUGUGAGUCCAUGAAGACCUCGGGGCAGAGGAAGCAAGAGGCAAAAGACUGUAAAUAUUAUUCAAAUAAAGAAAGCAC
rnacentral:lncRNA from 1 species